rnacentral:rRNA from 1 species
AUAUCAGUAAGCGGAGGAAGAGAAACUAACAAGGAUUCCCUCAGUAACGGCGAGUGAAGCGGGAAGAGCUCAAAUUUUAAAUCCAAGAGUGUGCUGCUCUUUGAAUUGUAGUUUGUAGACGUGAAUCGUGGUCGAUGCAUCGAUGUGCAAGUCUCCUGGAAUGGAGCAUCACGGAGGGUGAGAAUCCCGUCUGGAUGUCGAUGCAUGGGUCGAUGGAGUCACGUCGAAGAGUCGAGUUGUUUGGGAAUGCAGCUCAAAAGGGGUGGUAAAUUCCAUCUAAAGCUAAAUAUUGGCAAGAGACCGAUAGCGCACAAGUA